rnacentral:rRNA from 1 species
UACGUAGGGAGCAAGCGUUGUCCGGAAUCAUCGGGCGUAAAGCGCGCGUAGGUGGUCCCGUAAGUCCGCUGUGAAAGUCAAAGGCUCAACCUUUGAAAGCCGGUGGAUACUGUGGGACUAGAGUACGGAAGAGGCGAGUGGAAUUCCUGGUGUAGCGGUGAAAUGCGCAGAUAUCAGGAGGAACACCAAUUGCGAAGGCAGCUCGCUGGGACGUUACUGACGCUGAGACGCGAAAGCGUGGGGAGCAAACAGG